rnacentral:rRNA from 1 species
CUCGAAUCAGGUAGGAAUUACCCGCUGAACUUAAGCAUAUCAAUAAGCGGAGGAAAAGAAACCAACAGGGAUUGCCCC